CUGUUUCUGUAGUUCACACUGGUCCUUACACAUCACUCCAUCGUCAAAAGAGGUUAGAAAUAAAUGAGCUUCCAAAAGCUAAAAAUUCUGGUUGUAGAGGAUAACCAGUUCUGUGCCAUCUCAUUUCACUUUCCUACAUCAAUGGUCCUAGCACAGAGUGAGAUAGAGGCGACAGAUGAAAUGACUGAAUUGCUGUUGUAAUGUAGCUAUUUUCAACUGCUGAAUAGCAUUUUGAGUUCAGUCAACAUCCAAAAUAGGACAAAAGAAAGUUCAAGGCUGCUCUGAACUACCCCAGAAAUGUUAGGCUGGACUGUCUUUUUGGUUGUCCUUUUCUUCCUCACCUUCUCAGGUCAACCAGUAGAGUCUCUCCUCUGCCUCCACCCUCUUUCCCCCUAAAUGUCUUGACCUGGUUUGUUUGUUUGCCUGAUUGUUUGUUUGUUUGUUUUAUUUCAAAGUGUGAUGACUGGCCAUUUAUGAGGGGAAGAGUGCUGUUCCAUGUUAUUAAGGACAUCUGGAAUGUGUCAAAGUCAGAAUCAUUACAAAUUCAGUGGGAAGGAUGACUGAAUUUACCCCAGCUCCUGCACUUCCAACCUUUCAUCUCAGUGAAGCUGAGUGAAUUUUUUGAGUGCCAGAAGGUUUAACAGUCAUUCCUGGCGGACAACAAACAGGUUUGUUGACCCAGAGUUUUCAAAUUUUAACUAAUGGUCCAUUUGGAGUCAGAGAUGGAAGAAGGAGAUACUUGCAAAACAAGAUGUUUUUCAUGAAGUGUUUUAAUGAAAUUAAACCUAAAAAUUAUACAUUUUCAAUAAAUUUCAUUUCCUGAA